rnacentral:rRNA from 1 species
AUUGAACGCUGGCGGCAGGCCUAACACAUGCAAGUCGAGCGGAUGAAGGGAGCUUGCUCCUGGAUUCAGCGGCGGACGGGUGAGUAAUGCCUAGGAAUCUGCCUGGUAGUGGGGGAUAACGUCCGGAAACGGGCGCUAAUACCGCAUACGUCCUGAGGGAGAAAGUGGGGGAUCUUCGGACCUCACGCUAUCAGAUGAGCCUAGGUCGGGUUAGCUAGUUGGUGGGGUAAAGGCCUACCAAGGCGACGAUCCGUAACUGGUCUGAGAGGAUGAUCAGUCACACUGGAACUGAGACACGGCCCAGACUCCUACGGGAGGCAGCAGUGGGGAAUAUUGGACAAUGGGCGAAAGCCUGAUCCAGCCAUGCCGCGUGUGUGAAGAAGGUCUUCGGAUUGUAAAGCACUUUAAGUUGGGAGGAAGGGCAGUAAGUUAAUACCUUGCUGUUUUGACGUUACCAACAGAAUAAGCACCGGCUAACUUCGUG